UCCUCUUUACAGAGGCAGUUUGUUUCGAGUUCCCGGCAUGACCCGCUGGCAACAAAACAUGAGGGUUGCGCUCGUUGCGGGACUUAACCCAACAUUUCACGACACGAGCUGACGACAGCCAUGCACCACCUGUGAAUCACCCUCGAAGGCGACUACUUUUCGGUAGCUUGCAGAUCCAUGUCAAGCCCUGGUAAGGUUCUUCGCGUUGCAUCGAAUUAAGCCACAUGCUCCACCGCUUGUGCGGGCCCCCGCCAAUUCCUUUGAGGUUUAAUCUUGCGAUCGUAGUUCCCAGGCGGUUCACUUAAUGCGUUAGCUGCGGCACCGAGGCAAAGCCCCAACACCUAGCUCUCAUAGUUUACGGCGUGGACUAC
rnacentral:misc_RNA from 1 species